AGUGGACGCUGGCGGUAGGCCUAACACAUGCAAGUCGAACGGCAGCACAGUAAGAGCUUGCUCUUACGGGUGGCGAGUGGCGGACGGGUGAGGAAUACAUCGGAAUCUACUUUUUCGUGGGGGAUAACGUAGGGAAACUUACGCUAAUACCGCAUACGACCUACGGGUGAAAGCAGGGGAUCUUCGGACCUUGCGCGAUUGAAUGAGCCGAUGUCGGAUUAGCUAGUUGGCGGGGUAAAGGCCCACCAAGGCGACGAUCCGUAGCUGGUCUGAGAGGAUGAUCAGCCACACUGGAACUGAGACACGGUCCAGACUCCUACGGGAGGCAGCAGUGGGGAAUAUUGGACAAUGGGCGCAAGCCUGAUCCAGCCAUACCGCGUGGGUGAAGAAGGCCUUCGGGCUGUAAAGCCCUUUUGUUGGGAAAGAAAAGCAGCAGGUUAAUACCCCGCUGUUCUGACGGUACCCAAAGAAUAAGCACCGGCUAACUUCGUG
rnacentral:rRNA from 1 species